CAGCCGCCGCGGUAAUACGAAGGGUGCAAGCGUUACUCGGAAUUACUGGGCGUAAAGCGUGCGUAGGUGGUGGUUUAAGUCCGUUGUGAAAGCCCUUGGCUCAACCUGGGAAUUGCAGUGGAUACUGGGUCACUAGGGUGUGGUAGAGGAUAGUGGGAUUUCCGGUGUAGCGGUGAAAUGCGUAGAGAUCGGAAGGAACAUCUGUGGCGAAGGCGACUAUCUGGGCCAACACUGACACUGAGGCACGAAAGCGUGGGGAGCAAACAGGAUUAGAUACCCGAGUAGUCCCUGUCUCUUAUAC
rnacentral:rRNA from 1 species